rnacentral:rRNA from 1 species
GAAUAUUGGACAAUGGGCGAAAGCCUGAUCCAGCAAUGCCGCGUGAGUGAUGAAGGCCUUAGGGUUGUAAAGCUCUUUUACCCGGGAUGAUAAUGACAGUACCGGGAGAAUAAGCCCCGGCUAACUCCGUGCCAGCAGCCGCGGUAAUACGGAGGGGGCUAGCGUUGUUCGGAAUUACUGGGCGUAAAGCGCGCGUAGGCGGCUUUGUAAGUCAGAGGUGAAAUCCCGGGGCUCAACUCCGGAACUGCCUUUGAAACUGCAUCGCUUGAAUCCGGGAGAGGUGAGUGGAAUUCCGAGUGUAGAGGUGAAAUUCGUAGAUAUUCGGAAGAACACCAGUGGCGAAGGCGGCUCACUGGACCGGUAUUGACGCUGAGGUGCGAAAGCGUGGGGAGCAAACAGG